CAUGUCUUUUUGAUUAUAAUUUAAAGUCUGACCUGCCCUAUGAAUAAUUUUUAAAUGGCUGCGGUACUCUGACCGUGCAAAGGUAGCAUAAUAAUUAGUUUUUUAAUUGGGAACUGGUAUGAAAGGUCGAACGAGAAAAAGACUGUCUCAAUUUAAUUUAAAUUAGAAUUUUAUUUUUAAGUUAAAAAGCUUAAAUAUUUUUAAAAGACGAGAAGACCCUAUAGAGUUUUAUAUAAUUUAAUAUUUUUGAAAGUUAAAGAAUUUUAUAUUUAAUUAUUUUAAAUUAUAUUUGGUUGGGGCAAUUAAAAAAUUAAAGGAAUUUUUUUUAAAUUAUUACAUUGAUAUAUGAUUAAGUGAUCCAUAUUUUAUGAUUAAAAGAUUAAAUUACCUUAGGGAUAACAGCGUAAUUUUUUUUAGAGUUCUUAUCGAAAAAAGAGUUUGCGACC
rnacentral:rRNA from 1 species